rnacentral:rRNA from 1 species
CCUACCGGAGGCAGCAGUGGGGAAUUUUUCACAAUGCCCGGAAGCGUGAUCCAGCCCCGCCAUGUGGGUGAAGAAGGCCUUCGGGUUGUAAAGCUCUUUUAGUUGGGAAUAAUAGUUUCGCAGUCAAUUCAUUGAAGAGACGUACCGAUGAUUGCCCCUUCCCC